UUUUAUGGAGAGUUUGAUCCUGGCUCAGAGUGAACGCUGGCGGCGUGCCUAAUACAUGCAAGUCGAACGAUGAAGCUUCUAGCUUGCUAGAAGUGGAUUAGUGGCGCACGGGUGAGUAAGGUAUAGUUAAUCUGCCCUACACA
rnacentral:rRNA from 2 species